CAAAGAUCUGCGCGAUCCAGUAUGCUCACAGUCCAGCAGCGAGCUGGCGUCGUCCAUGCCCACAUCGAAUGAGAAUUUUGACUCUGAAAUGGUCCCCAAAAUAUGAUUAAUUAUUAUUUUUACUUCAACAUAAAAGUACAACCAACCAGCUUUUAAGUAAAAGUUACAUAAAAGACGCCAUGCACCGUGUUCGUGUUUCAGUUCAGGACUCUUACCCGUUGCGAUCGGUUCAUUUUAUCUUUCGGAUUAUUGCGCACUGUACACCGACGGAACAUGCACCAUCGUCCACGGUUAGGGUGUGAAACGUGUCGAUUGUCAUGCUUGAGGGUAGAGGAGCGGUGUCAGGAUGGUGAACAUCACGCACACGCCGAUGACGAGGAUGCUGGAGAUGGCGGCGCGACGAGAGGAGUCUGUGUUCAGGGAUGUGAUGCUUUGCGGGAGCGGGGUGCAGGGAAAAGUGUGGUUCUUUAAAGAAAAAAUGAUUAAAUUAAAUCACAACAUACCAAACAACGCAUCCAAACUUAUAUGCUGAUUGUUGGCAUACCUAUUAACACAUAUUAUUGGUUUGAUUAAUUUCUGGAAAUUAGAUUUAAAUGUGCACCGACAGCAGUGAUUCGAGAUAAGUUGGUGCGAUGAAGGAAGAAAGUAUUUAACAUUCAUAUUAGGUUGAUUCUUGGAUUAAUAAAUGGGUUCAGCUAAAUAUUCGUCAUUUCUCAUAACAAUUAGUCGAAGUUAUCACAACUUUUGAUUGCAUUCUUGAGUAACUAAAUGUUAUUUACAUAACUGCAAUUUGGCAAAACCCAUUAAAAUGGAAACCGAUGAGUUAACCGAAACCAAGAUUAUAUGUACACACAGAAAUAAAUACAAUAGUGCGUGUUCAAAUAUAUACAUUCAUAAUCGGUACAAAUAUAUAAAUAAUAUAAUCACAUUGAUAAAGCAUGCAUUUAAAUCAGUAUAAAUACAAUGAUGACAGCACAUGCUAAAACAAUAUCCGUGCUGGUGGUUUGCAUUUGGUUGCAACACAAAAAAAAAUGUAAACGAUACAUUUAGUUCACUCCAGUGGCAACACAUGUAAUAAUUUGUAUUGAUUGUAACACUAUGUAGUAGAUAAAAGAACGAAAAUAUUAGUCACAGCUAGCUAACAAAAAGUAUGGCAACAUAAAUCCGUGUAUCCACUUGAUACAAAUAUCAAAUAAUUUUGUGGAAUGUGCUUCAAUAAAUCAGUGCGCCUCAUUAUUGCCUAUUAUCUCCUGCAUCAGUACGUUUCGAUUGCGUAUAUUAAAUUAAAUAAAUAAACGAUUACUAAAUGU